rnacentral:lncRNA from 1 species
AGUUUCCCCUGUGCCCGUAUCUUCAAGGCUUUUCCCCACUAUCCCCUCUAUAAGUUUCAGUGUCUCUGUUUUUUUUUUGUUUUUUGCUUUUUUUUUUUUUUUUUUUUUGUGGAGUUCCUUGAUCCACUUAGACUUGAGCUUUGUACAAGGAGAUAGGAAUGGAUGAAUUCGCAUUCUUCUACAUGAUAACCUCCAGUUGAGCCAGCACCAUUUGGUUGCUGUCUUUUUUUCCACUGGGUGGUUUUAGCUCCCUUGUCAAAGAUCAAGUGACCAUAGGUGUGUGGGUCCAUUUCUGGGUCAUCAAUUCUAUUCCAUUGAUCUACCUGUCUGUCGCUGUACCAGUACCAUGCAGUUUUUAUCACAAUUGCUCUGCAGUACAGCUUUAGGUCAGGGAUGAUGAUUCCACCAGAGGUUCUUUUAUUUUUGAGAAUAGUUUUUGCUAUGCUAGGUUUUUUGUUAUUCCAGAUGAAUUUGCAAAUUGCCCUUUCUAACUCUGUGAAGAAUUGAGUUAGAAUUUUCAUGGGGAUUGCGUGAAUCUGUAGAUUGCUUUUGUUAAGAUAGCUAUUUUUACUAUAUUAAUCCUGUCAAUCCAUGAACACUGGAGGUAUUUUCAUCUUCUGAGAUCUUUAAUUUCUUUCUUCAAAGACUUGAAGUUCUUAUCAUACAGAUCUUUCACAUCCGUAGUUAGAGUCACACCAAAGUAUUUUAUAUUAUUUGUGACUAUUGUGAAGGGUGAAGGGACUUGCUGUGGUGGGAGUACUGGGUUCUGAUGAUGCCAAGUGGUAUUGGUUCCUCCUGUUAGUAAGAUUCUUAUGUUUGCCUUUCGCCAUCUGGCAAUCUCUGGUGUUAGAUGUUCUAACUGUCUCUGGGUAUAGCUUGUUCCUCAUGUGAGUCUGUUAGCCUCUCUCAGCACUCCUGGGAGACCAGCUCUCUCCUGAGUCCCAGGGGUCAGCAAGCUCUUCUCUGUUGGGAAGGUGCACAGAGGUCUGAGGAUCAGCUCAGCCUCCUGGCUGAAGGCCCGAAGGGACCUUCCCUGUCCAGUAAGCUCUGUGGCUUCUGUGACCCACGUGAUCUCCUGCUUGGACCAGCCUCAGAGAGAUCCUGGAUAGAAAAUAGCAGUCAGUGCUCUUAACCACUGAGCCAUCUCAUCAGCCCGACUUCUUUGUUUUAGUGCUCAGUUGUAUAAGGUUUUUUGCUUAAGAUACUAUAGCUAAAAGCCCAUUUAAUACAAAUUCUGCUAAUUAAGAUGCAUCCUAUUUUUAAUUCAAGUUUCAUUUAUUAAUGGUAAUAAUAAUAGUUUGUGAUGAAUUAACUGGCAUAAAAAUUUUGAACCUUUUUUACAGUGAAGGAGAAAACUUGGCCACUUUAUGAUAAUUCUGUAGUCUUAUACAUAAAUUUUCGAAAUAAAGAAUACCAUGCCACCAAUAUUGUCUUAUCACGAUGAUAGAAGCAGUUAUGUAUGUGUCAUUUUAACUUGUUUCACACACACACAAACACACACACACACACACACACACACAACUUGUUCAUUUCCUCUUAGCCAUAGGGAAGAGAUUCUCUGAAUCACUCAGUGAAUACACAAAACCCAGGAUAGUACCAAAACCCAUAAUAUAUCCUGUGCUUUUUCAUUAUAUGCAUACCAUACAUAGAUAGUUUAUAACAAGCAUAGAAAAGAUUAAUAACAAUGUUAAUAAAAUAAAAGUUACAACAGUUUACAAUUAAAACAAUGCCAAUGUGCAUGAUUGUACUUGGUUGCCUUAUUAAAUUGAAUAUAGCCACUCUGAUACUAUGACAGUUAAUCUAGUAACUGCAGCAGGUACUAUAAUUGAGUAAUGUAUAUACACUGUGUGGAUGGCUCUCAGCCCAGGUGGGAUAGAGACAAAUGAUGUGAGAUUUCAUUUUUAUGUCCAGAUCUGCAUGUAAUUUAUGAUAUGUGGAUUGUUUAUUUCUGGCAUUUUCAUUUACUAUUUGGUAUUAACCAUAGGUAACCGAAACUAUAAAAGUUAGGUCACAAACGCUGAAGGUCUAGGUAAGAGGCAACUACGUAAAUGUACUUCUAAAUGAGUGUUUAUAAUAACCAGCAACAGUUUUUGUUAUUUUAACAAGAAGAAAUGUGCAGUUUUCCAUGUCAGGAGACAAGGAAGAAGCACAAAUUAGUAAUAUAUGAAAAGUGACAGAAAUUGUUGUCAUAUGGUAUGUUUUUUAUCAAAAGAAAAUGAAAGUAAAUAGUGGUUUGAUCAACACUUACAAAAAAUACUCGAUUUGAAAUAGAGACACAGAUAAAGAAGUUUACCUUGAUAGCAUACUGCUAAUACUAUUGGCAUAUCAUUCAGUGAUAGAGUUUUUUGGGAGUUGUUCUGGAGGUCUCAUCAGACACAGUAGUGAGUGAAGAGAGGUUGAGGUGGUGAAAGCCAAUUCUACAAUGUGCCAAUGUCUAGUAGUGUUGUGCCUGCAUGCACCAAGAAAGAAGCAUAAAGAUCAUAGAGAUCCACUAAGAUUUCUGGGGUUUUUUGAUUGUUUGUUUUGGCAUACUAUUUUGCAAUUUUAAGUAACACACCAUUUAUUGCAGUGCUGGAUUAUAAUAUCUAUAGUUAAGUGUUGUGUAGUAUGAUUAAAAUUCAUUAAUUUAGCAAAUAAUUUUUAAUAUUUAAUGAGCAACAAACACACUGGGAUCCAGGACUAAAGAAAUAAUACCAUUCAUCCUAUGUUUGGUUACCGAUGCUAUGGGACUAAGACAAAAAUAAUUUAUUAAAUCUUAGUGUGUUAUGAAGUGUGGUAAUGUCCAGACGAGUGGCCAGGAGACCUCUGAUAAGAAUAUGUAGUAGGUAGCAGAUAUUGAAAUUCAAGGCUCAGUGUUAGGCAGACUGAUGAUGGGAAAGCCGAAAACCUUGAGUUCUGUUUCCACUGUUAAUUCAUACAAACUUCUAAAUGUCAGUUUACUCACUAGAAAUAGAGUAAGGGUCUGUGAGUUCUCAAAAUUAGAUUUAUAGGUUUUACAACACUGCCUUGUGUAAUAGCUUUCUGAUUAUUUAUAUAGCUGACAAUUUUUUCUAUAGUAGUAAAAAUAUGACAAACUUUGGGAAAAGUGCAAUCUUUGAAUGUUUUUCCGCUGUGAAUUUGCAGUGAUGCAAUUGGUCCCAUGAAUGAUAGUACAGGGAAGGUGGUUAAGGGGUAAUUAGCCGGUUGAUUCUGUUUGUAUAGGUCUAUACUGUCUCACAGGGGCGCAGGGAUGUGUUGCUUACUGCUAGGUGAGGAAACCCUGACGGACCACCUGUGUGGGAUCUCUGGACCUCUGGACAGGUGCAACAAGAAAAUGAAGGAGUCUACAAAGUUGUCCUUUGACCUGCACAAAUGACCUUUAUGUAUUGCUCUCCCCAUGCCUUGUAAAUGGACACAUACACUGGUGAUAACAAAAAUAAAAUAUAAAAUCCUUAAAAGAAAAAAAAAAAAAAAAAAAAA